UUAAGCUACUAAGAGCAUAGGGUGAAUGCCUAGGCACCAAAAGCCGAUGAAAGACGUGACAAGCUGCGAUAAGCCUUGGGGAGGAGCACAUAUCCUUUGAUCCAGGGAUUUCUGAAUGAGGAAACUCAGCUGGGAAAAAGAGCCCAGUUAUCCACACAUAAGUAAAGUAGUGUGUGAGAAGGGAACGUGGAGAACUGAAACAUCUUAGUACCCACAGGAAAAGAAAGAAAAAUCGAUAUCGAAAGUAGUGGCGAGCGAAAUCGAUAGAGCCCAAACCAGAAUCAGUAAUGAUACUGGGGUUCGGACAGCAUAAUUGAUUAAACGAGGAUAGCAAAACUGUUUUGGAAAAGCAGACUAUAAAGGGUGAAAGUCCCGUAUGCGAAAUUCAAGUUUACAUGGCUGUAUCCAGAGUAGUGCGAGACACGAGAAAUCUCGUAUGAAUGAGCGGGGACCAUCCCGUAAGGCUAAAUACUAAUUGGUGACCGAUAGCGAACUAGUACCGUGAGGGAAAGGUGAAAAGAACCCCGGGAGGGGAGUGAAAUAGAAUCUGAAACCCUAUGUUUACAAGCAGACAGAGCGAUUUAAGGCGCGAUGUCGUACUUUUUGUAGAACGGUCCAGCGAGUUAUAGUGCAUGGCAAGGUUAAGUUUUAAGUAAGGAACGGAGCCGAAGCGAAAGCGAGUCUGAAUAGGGCGAAUUAAGUCAUGCGUUAUAGACCCGAAACCGGGUGACCUAUCCAUGGUCAGGAUGAAGCAAGAGUAAAAUCUUGUGGAGGUCCGAACUGAUUGUCGUUAAAAAGGCACCGGAUGAACUGUGGAUAGCGGAGAAAUUCCAAUCGAACUCGGAGAUAGCUGGUUCUCCUCGAAAUAGCUUUAGGGCUAGCCUUGGAGGAAGACGAAUGGAGGUAGAGCACUGAAUGAGGUAGGGGCCUAACCAGGUUACCGAACUCUAUCAAACUCCGAAUGCCAUUCGUUAAUAUCCAGGAGUCAGACUACGGGAGCUAAGUUCCGUGGUCAAAAGGAAAAGAGUCCAGAUCGUCAAUUAAGGUCCCAAAUGGAUAGCUAAGUGGAAAACGAUGUGAUUUUGCGUAAACAACCAGGAUGUUGGCUCAGAAGCAGCCAUUCAUUAAAAGAGUGCGUAAUAGCUCACUGGUCGAGUGAAAUUGCGCGGAAAAUUACCGGGGCUAAGUUAUCAACCGAAAUUGCGGAUUUGUAAUUUAUUACAAGUGGUAGAGGAGCAUUCUAUUGUAGGAUGAAGUCAGAGCGUGAGCACUGGUGGACGAGAUAGAAGAGAGAAUGCUGGAAUAAGUAGCGAGAGCAGGGUGAGAAUCCCUGCCGUCGAAAGUCUAAGGUUUCCUGGGGAAGGUUCGUCCGCCCAGGGUUAGUCAGGACCUAAGGAGAGGCCGAAAGGCGUAUCUGAUGGAUAGCAGGUUGAUAUUCCUGCACUAUAUAAUACUUAAAAGAUGCAACUGACGCAGAAGUGGAAGGUGAGCAAGGAAAUGGAAAAACUUGUUCCGCAAGGGGGAGUGAAAAUAAAGUAACGAAGCACCAAGAAGCACGCUGACGAGAAAAGGUUGUAGAUCUUGUAUUAUAUACUUGUACCGCAAACCGACACAGGUAGAUGAGGAGAGGAUCCUAAGACGAUCGGGAGAAGCAUUGUUAAGGAACUCGGCAAAUUGACCCCGUAACUUUGGAAGAAGGGGUACUGGUGUAACAGCCAGUCGCAGAGAAUUGUCCCAAGCAACUGUUUAACAAAAACAUAGGUUUCUGCUAAAUCGAAAGAUGAAGUAUAGGAGCUGACGCCUGCCCAGUGCUGGAAGGUUAAGGGAACGUGUUAAUAGUAAUAUGAAGCACCGAACUGAAGCCCCAGUGAACGGCGGCCGUAACUAUAACGGUCCUAAGGUAGCGAAAUUCCUUGUCAGGUAAGUUCUGACCCGCACGAAAGGCGUAAUGAUUUGGGAGCUGUCUCGACAAUGUCCCCGGCGAAAUUGUAGUACUAGUGAAGAUGCUAGUUACCUGCGACAAGACAGAAAGACCCCAUGGAGCUUUACUGCAGUUUGAUACUGAGUCAGGCUAAUUUAUGUACAGGAUAGUUAGGAGACUAUGAGGCUUAAGCGCUAGCUUAAGAAGAGUCAACGUUGGGAUACUAACCUUAAAUUAGUUUGAAUCUAACUCGUGAUCGUAAUCCGGUCAGAGGACAAUGUCAGACGGGCAGUUUGACUGGGGCGGUCGCCUCCUAAAGAGUAACGGAGGCGUUCAAAGGU
rnacentral:rRNA from 1 species